rnacentral:lncRNA from 1 species
AGAAGCUCCUGCGAGGGGACCAGCGGGGGCCUCGGGUGUGUGGGUCGGAGUGGAAGCACCGAGCCGGGCUUUGGUGGCUCUCGGCCUGGAAGAAUCCCUUUCUCAAGCACAUGCCUGGUACCAGGGGAAGGGAACUGAGGACACACACAGUCAAGCGAAGACUGGCUAGAGAGGUAGGAGACACCAAACGCACCCCCUUUCACAGCUGUGCCUGCACCUCCUGGAGGAAAAGGAAGGCUUGGCGGUUUUUAUUGUACCCUGAAGACCCCAGAAGGAACCAGAUGUGGGACAGGAGGAGGCUGCAGAAAAGUGCCAGCCUUCCAUGCAGCAGAAAGGAAUCAGAUUUGGAGAAUGACUUCCAGCCCAACAGAUGUUCCAAAUGAAAGAGGACUCUCCGUGAACUGGUUGGUGUGAAAGCAGGGGCGUGGACAAUAUGACCUCCUGCAGGAAGGGCCCCAUACUGGUAAGGCUGGGGGGCUGGGUGGACACCCCCAAAAUGAGCAUCCCUGGUCCUAAGAAUGGCAGCUCCCAUGAUGUACCAGAGCAUAUGCAAAUGUUACCAUUCCUUGAAAAAUAAAGGCUCAUGUAAAGCAUCCCCUUCCUCUUCCCUAGCUUAAAACAGGAGACAAUGGGAAGAAAGAGAGCAGGCCCCUUUCUUAACCCCACUGAGGGCAAGGACUAGCCCC